rnacentral:tRNA from 2 species
GCGCCUGUAGCUCAGUCAGGAUAGAGCAGCUGCCUUCUAAGCAGCGGGUCGGAGGUUCGAGUCCUUCCAGGCGUGCCA